UCUAGGCCCGGUCUCUGCUGUUGUCUUUGGUUGCACCGUCAGGAUCCAGCUCGCCUCUGCCGCCGGUUCCAUCGUAGUUCUGGCCCCAGCCAUCUGUCCUUGCUGCUGCUCCCUCUGCUCCUUCUCCUGGUCCCACCUCAUCAAUUGCACUCCAUGGUUUCCUGGCUCCAGCAGAAGUUUAGCUACGCUCUUAGAAUCAUAGAAUCAUUUAGGUUGGAAAAUACCUUCAAGAUCAUCGAGUCCAACCAUAAAGUCCAACCUCUUGUCAAGAUUGCCUUAAUUACAUCACCUGGCUUCUGCCUCCACCCAGACUCCAGCCCGGGGCCUCACUACGAGGCUUGCAACGCCCAUGUCCCGUCAUAACAGUCUACGCGGACAGCUGCAGACAGACGGCAGCUUGUUUCGCUAGUGCUCCAAGCUGGGCAGAAACAAGCUAGCUUUGGUCUAGGAGCUGUACACCUACAUUACCUGAAAGGAAGAGCUCUUUUAUUUCCAGACAAGGUACACAGCAGCUUGGAGCACAGACAAACCGAAUCCAUCUCUGUCUAUGCUUGCUCAGUUAGACAUACUGUGUAAACCUAUACUAACUUUCAGGGUACCGAGGAAAUUUAAAUACUGAAAAGAGACAGACUGUGCAGAUGUCUCAAAUGUUUGCCCAGACAUUGAGCAGCAUCCCUCGUGACACACAGGUAGACAGAAAUCUACCGUGUGGGUCAGAGGGGACCAAGGCAGAAAGAUUUCUACUGAACUUUCUAAAAGCUGGUUUUAGCUUACCUGAGAACAUUAUCUAUGUCCACCAUGACACUCGGGUGAAGCAUAGCAACUGUAUUUCAUUACAUUUGGGUAUCGACCAAAUUCUAGUCUCAAGCACACUUCUGUGAAUUAGGUAUCUCUGUUUCAGUAGAGUUAGUCUGGACUUUCUCAGAAUAUGUAUUUCUACAAGUGAAACCCAAAUCCUAUACCUAAAGUACUAAAAUUUGAAGUUCGGACCUUUAUCCAGUGUACUUGCAAUAAAUUUAUACCAGCUGAUGAUAUGAUCCUCUGUAACUUCCAUGCCAGCAGAUGAAACAUCAAGAGAUACAGAAGCCAGAAAGAUGUGCUUGAGCUACCUUAAAACUAACUAGCUUGGCUACUGGUAGUAGUGUACCCAGAGUUGCAUAAAGCUCAAGUGUAAACUAAGUUAGGCUAGAUUUAAGUUGGACUACCAGAAUUUUGCAGCUUAGGCUGAGCUCUGUGCUUGCAUAGCUUGUACCCAAGCUGGGCAACACAAACCUAACAAAGCCACUGUACACUGGAAUCAUUAAAGCAAAUAUUGAAUCUAAAUGGUGCCUAUUUUAUGGCAGUUUUAAAAGCAGCUGAAGCAUUUAUUAACUUAUAAAUUGUUUCUAAUACCCUAGUACCUCAAUGGGACCACUCAUAAAUGCUGUACAAUGUGAACAACAGUGGCAGGAUCUGACCACAAACGCUUUCAGGCAUGUGAGAGAGACAGAGAUUUUUGUGCUUUUGUUUCUAGGUAACUGCCUGGUUUUGUUUAACUGUGUUCUGAUUAUGGUAUGGAGCUCAUUUAACACUGUAUGGGCAAAUGGCAUGCUUUAUGUUAUAUUUAGCUUUAUCUCUCUAUGUAUGAGGACCACGUGGGGUAAAUGCUUCUUUGAGGCCCGACCCUCAUCUCCUUCCUAAAGCUGAAGUGUGAAUCUGUGGGAAUGUUAUAUAACAGGGGAAUGCGAUUCCAGAUCUGCUAUAAUAUGUUUAACCUGAAUAAAUAGGCUGGAAAUUGUCUGUGUGUUGUAUAACCCCAUCAUAAGUUAACAUACAAUUAAAUUUCAGAUUUUGGAACUUAUACUGGAAAUCAUUUACUUGCGUAAAUAACUCCAGUGGGAUUCAGUGGGAUAUUAGUGGGAGCUAAUACAAACUCACUAAAACAAGUAGGAGUUCCUAAAUCAAGCCUUGACUGUUUUAAAUAAAAAUGAAUUAAUGCA